rnacentral:lncRNA from 1 species
CCCCCCCCCGCCUAAAAGGGCAGAAAUUCCGGCGGCGUGUGGUUCAUCUCGGUUGAAAGAUAAAAAAGAGAAAAAAAAUAAAGCAAAGAAAAGGCCGAUUUCGACAAAUCAAAAGGGGAAGUAAGAGGAAGGGGAAAAUUGGUGAAACCCCUUCCGAAUCUGAUUCUGAUUUUGUUAGUGAAACAAAAAAGAAAAAAAGAAAAAAAAUAACAAAUGUAGAAGUUGCUCAAUAUUAUAUAUUUGAUGAUAUAUAAUAUCAUAUGUUUAAUUCCAGUCAGAUAUCAUCUAUGAAAGAAUUACCAUUUAUCGGG